rnacentral:rRNA from 1 species
AUGAACGCUGGCGGCGUGCCUAAUACAUGCAAGUCGAGCGAACGGACGAGAAGCUUGCUUUUCUGAUGUUAGCGGCGGACGGGUGAGUAACACGUGGAUAACCUACCUAUAAGACUGGGAUAACUUCGGGAAACCGGAGCUAAUACCGGAUAAUAUUUUGAACCGCAUGGUUCAAAAGUGAAAGACGGUCUUGCUGUCACUUAUAGAUGGGUCCGCGCUGCAUUAGCUAGUUGGUAAGGUAACGGCUUACCAAGGCAACGAUGCAUAGCCGACCUGAGAGGGUGAUCGGCCACACUGGAACUGAGACACGGUCCAGACUCCUACGGGAGGCAGCAGUAGGGAAUCUUCCGCAAUGGGCGAAAGCCUGACGGAGCAACGCCGCGUGAGUGAUGAAGGUCUUCGGAUCGUAAAACUCUGUUAUUAGGGAAGAACAUAUGUGUAAGUAACUGUGCACAUCUUGACGGUACCUAAUCAGAAAGCCACGGCUAACUACGUG